rnacentral:rRNA from 1 species
ACAUUAGCAUGGAAUAACGAAUGUGUCUGGAAUAUUGGUUAAUUCUAGAUUACGAUUAAUAGGGACAGUUGGGGGCAUUAGUAUUUAAUUGUCAGAGGUGAAAUUCUUGGAUUUAUUAAAGACUAACGUAUGCGAAAGCAUUUGCCAAGGAUGUUUUCAUUGAUCAAGAACGAAAGU